AUUGAACGCUGGCGGCAGGCUUAACACAUGCAAGUCGAACGAGUGGCGGACGGGUGAGUAAUGCAUGGGAAUCUGGCCUAUGGAGGGGGAUAACUACGGGAAACUGUAGCUAAUACCGCGUACCAUAGGAUGAGCCCAAGGGGGAUUAGGUAGUUGGUGGGGUAAAGGCUCACCAAGCCGACGAUCUCUAGCUGGUCUGAGAGGAUGACCAGCCACACUGGGACUGAGACACGGCCCAGACUCCUACGGGAGGCAGCAGUGGGGAAUAUUGCGCAAUGGGGGCAAGCCUGACGCAGCCAUGCCGCGUGAAUGAAGAAGGCCUUCGGGUUGUAAAGUACUUUCAGCGAGGAGGCGUUACUCGCAGAAGAAGCACCGGCUAACUCCGUGCCAGCAGCGGCGGUAAUAC
rnacentral:rRNA from 1 species